GGUGUGGAAAUGCCAGAUCACACAUUCACACUUAACCCUUUCAGGAAGUGCCAGUCUGUUUUCAAAGUGGCUGCACCACUUGACCUUCCACCUGCAAUGCUGGGGUCCACCUGUUUUUUUUCUUUUUUUCUUUCAUCCUCACUAGCACUUGUCAUCUGCCUUUUCGAUCAUAGCCAUCCUGAUGUCUUGAUGUGCAUUUCCACGGUGGCUCAAGAACUGGCCCUCUUCUCACGAGCCAUUGGUCCUUUGCCUAUAUUCUUUGGAGGAAUAUCUUAGAUACUUCUUGGCCUUCACCUUUUGAAAAAUUUCAAGAUUUCCUUCCACUUGGUGGGUUUUCUUUUCCCCUUCUUGAGAGUGUCCUUGUAAGACAAAGUCUUGACGGAGUCUGGUUUCUCGUUUUUGUUGCUUGUACCUUCAGCGCCCACCAAGGCAAAGUCAAGUCAUCAAGACAGUGUGGCUUGGUGUAAGGACAUACAGACCAGUGAAUAAAACCAAGAGUGCCCAAAUAAACCCCCCCACACACCUGUGGUCGUCUGGUCUUCAGUGUGGGCACAAGAACUGGUCAUUGGGAAAAGAAUAGUCUUUCAACCAGUGAUCUAGCUCAAGGUCCUGAGGAUUUACGCCUUUGUGUUCUUCCAAGUUUCUUGGCUUUAGCUUUUACAUUUAGGUCUUUGUGGGAGGCUGUUGUGCUGUGUGACCAGCAUUUUCCUUCCCUGAUUGUUUGGGGCUCUGUGGGUCACUUCCCGUGAUCUGACCACAUCAAAGUGGCCCUAGAUGACUGCCCCGAUCCUUGAAGUAGUAGAAUGUGUCUUCGUGCACGGGCGUGCCUUCCUGCAGCCCCAUUUGUGAUACUACCCCUUUGCC
rnacentral:lncRNA from 1 species